rnacentral:misc_RNA from 1 species
CCUCCCAGUCUAGCGUGGCACAAGGGCGUGUCGACGGCGACUCAGACAAGACUCCACACAUGAGCAAUCAACCACYGAAGAGGCCAUCCUUCUUAAUCAUGUGCUCAUUCGUAUCUUUAGGCCAUCCUUUUUAGUCCUGUGCAUUGCGURUGCCAUAUACCCGGCUCUGCAGGAAGUCAACGUACCCCAUGUGCCAGUUCACCUCACCACCUCGAGCGGGAGGCACAACCACAAUGUGGUCGUAGCGUGCAUCUUAACGACACAACCCUUGGGCCCCGUGCUAGCUGGGCUCCUGAAGUAUCGCAAGCUCUUGUGAAUGCAGCAGGCUUCGGGGACUUCGGCCUUCGGCCUGGACUUUGAUAGGUCAUUAAGCCACCCUCGUCGAGACAACGGUCGAUCCACCGAUGGGCCCCCUCCGCUCCCUGCGGUCGAUCGAGCGCCUUGACAACACCGGCAUCACAAAGGACA